rnacentral:rRNA from 1 species
AGGACUAAAGAUUCAUCGGUAUGGGAUGGGGAUGCGUCUGAUUAGCUUGUUGGCGGGGUAACGGCCCACCAAGGCAUCGAUCAGUAGGGGUUCUGAGAGGAAGGUCCCCCACAUAGGAACUGAGACACGGUCCUAACUCCUACGGGAGGCAGCAGUGAGGAAUAUUGGUCAAUGGGCGCUAGCCUGAACCAGCCAAGUAGCGUGCAGGAUGACGGCCCUAUGGGUUGUAAACUGCUUUUAUGCGGGGAUAAAGUCACCCACGUGUGGGUGUUUGCAGGUACCGCAUGAAUAAGGACCGGCUAAUUCCGUGCCAGCAGCCGCGGUAAUACGGAAGGUCCGGGCGUUAUCCGGAUUUAUUGGGUUUAAAGGGAGUGUAGGCGGCCUGUUAAGCGUGUUGUGAAAUGUAGAUGCUCAACAUCUGAACUGCAGCGCGAACUGGCUGGCUUGAGUGCACGCAACGUGGGCGGAAUUCAUGGUGUAGCGGUGAAAUGCUUAGAUAUCAUGAGGAACCCCUAUUGCGAAGGCAGCUCACGGGAGUGUCACUGAC